CGUCAGCAGGCUCAGGGCGGAGGCGUGACCGGAUCUGACGUAUUUGACGAGGUUCACUCCAGCCGCUGUGCCAGGGACAGAAUGAGUGACCACUGUUUUGAUUGUCAGACAAGUUUCACUGGUAGAAGAGAAUAUAUCAAGUGCUCCUGCUGGGUGAUCUCCCUGCCUCUGAGCGCUUUACUCAUUUCCAUCUGGGUGGGCUCUUCUAGGAAGAGCACGGCGCUGGGAGUGGGGAGACCUGGUCCUGGCCUCCGGGUCUUCCUCGGCCCCCCGUGCAUGGCCUGACCCACACCUGUGCACACCCACACUGCCCACUGCGCACACAAACACUCACAGCCCUGAGCCCGCACCCCGGUCCGUAGUGAAAUCCCUGAACGGUGCCGCUGGGUGACCAUGGAGCAGUUUGAGCACCGCUCUCAUUUUACAGGUGGGGAAACGGGCUGAAGGAGAGUGCAGGGCGCUGAGAUGAAGGGGAGGCUGGCCAAGUCCUCUGUGAACCCGGAGAAGGUCGGGCAGCUUCUUCCUCAACAGCGAUACCAUUCUAACAACGACAUGCCACAGGAAGAGCCGACACCCAGGCACUGUGCUGAACGCUUUAUUUACAACUUUUAAAAUUCUCACUACAAUCCUACGGGCUAGGAAUUCUGAUCACCCCAUUUUAUGAGGGUGAUUUUACAGGAGAAAGCAGCAUAAAGAGGGCAGGAUAUGCCCAGAGCUACCCAACUGUCGGCGAUGGGGAGGGUGUUCCGGAACCAGCCUCUACAGGCCCUCCUGGAAGAAUCUGAUCCAAGCCCCAGCCCACGGCGUCCUUUUACCGACUAGCGCUCCAAGAAGGCAGAGGACGGCCCUGCUUCUCGAGGGCGACAGGCCACCCGAGGGGUCCUGGAGGGUGCUUGCGAUGAGGCCCCCAGGGCCACCCAGCUGUCCCGGCACCCCGGUGUCCAAGGCCUGCUCCAGCUGCGGGGAGCGGCGAGGAAGAGCAAAAAGAGGCAACUUUGCUCACCCUGCCCAGGGCUGAUGCUUCAGCUCAAGGAGAGGCCAAUUCUCUGCCCCGUUCUGUCUGUUCCUCGGACCCCUGGACUGAGACCCCUCCACCCCAUCACCCCUCCGGGAUGGCUAAGGCUGCCUCCGGAGAGCCUUCCAGGUAUCCAAUGCUGCCCAGACAUCAUCACCGAUCUUCCCGACUUGGGAAGAAAGCCCUGACCUCCCCUUGUGUGGUGGGGAGACCAAGGCUAGAGCUGGCACCUGGAGCCGGCCCACGAGCCCUGUGCUCACCGUCCUACCCACAGCCUGGUCCUGGGGUUUCGAGCGCAUCUCCAUUCGCCCGGGGAGAGGACACAGGGCCCUCUCUGCCCGAAUGACAUGGGGUGACUGUGUGGGGUGGGAGGGGGGCCCCGACAACGGGGUCAGGGCCUUCUCCAGAGAGGCAGUGAUUUCUGCCUGGGUUCCUGAGCUCCGGGCAGGGGUCACUCACCUCCACUGGCAUUUCUACAGAGCUUCCCUUCAGGCAGGUCCAAUGCCCCAGCCCCAUCCCCACCCCCCGGGCACAGGCGGGGUGGUGAGGCCUCCCUGUGAUCUGGCCUGGAAGCCCACUACGAAAGGCACCUGAGUGCUCAGGCCCAUGAGGAAAGAGCCUCCUUCUUCCUCUUCCUGCCCCAUACUCAGCAGCUGCCCCCCUCCACCAGCUCCUCCGGCCUCCACGUACCCCAGUGAUCCUCCUCCAUCACCAGCUGCAGCACCCUGUAGGCCAAGACAGCGCCCUGUGGGAUGCCCACUGCCUUCUCCGUGGCCACGGUGCUCUGACCCUGCAGCUGGGAGGGGGCGGAGAGAUUCUAAGACCUGCAGGAAGGGGUCUCAGGGCUAGACAGGAGCGGGGGAUGGCGGGCACAGGGGGAGGGGCUGCAGGAGGCCGACGUGAUGACCAGGGCCCACUGAAGUUGGAGGAUCAGAAGGUGCAAAGGCAGGGGUCACUCGGGCACAGUAGGAAGGCACUCUGAAAAAUAGGUUGCAGGUGAGACAUUUCCAAAAAUCCUAAGGCUUUCUGGGGUCAAAGCAAUCUACAGUGGCACUCAAAGAUCCCACUGCAAAGAAAUGAGUUUUGUUUUGCCUCAUCAUGUGUCUUUCAGUGUUUGGAGGGUUCACUUCAGGAAGGGCUGAGCUGGAAGCCUGGGGCGUGGCAGUUUGAGAAACUCCAUAGGUCGUCCUCUGUCAGGGGCAGCUGAUGGAGGGGGCUCUUGGGAAGCUGGGACUCCUGAGGUGGGGCCAGGGGUGCCACCAUCAGCACUGGAUCCCACCAGAGAAGUGCUACUGAGAAGCAAGAGAACUAUCCUGAGGAACAGAUGAGACAAGAGUUUUGGAGACUGUUCUGUACAAUGUCUGAGCUCCUGGACAGUAUUCAGUUUGGUGGCCUGGAGACUGACCUCCAGGUGACCGGCCCCCACCUGCACUCACGGGGAUGGUGAGAGGUGGGGCCUGGAGGUGAUGCUGUGAGUGCAACUCGAUCUGUGGGAGUCGAGAUCCCCCUGAGCCCUAGAAUGCUUGUGUGGGGCCCCGCCUCCCCCGUCACAGUGGGGACCGGAGGCAGCCCACGGAUGCUGCGUGGCAGAAGAACAGAGUUGGUGAGGAGCAGGUCUGGGUCUUGAAGGCAGGUUGAAGGAACCCUGCCCAUCCCUGCCCUUGGCACGUCCGGGGCACUCUUCUCACAUCGCUGAAGAGUCUCACCCUGAUUCCAGCCCAGCUUCGGGGACCAGAGAAGUCAAGCUCAGAGGGCCAAGUGACUUGCCCAAGGCAACACAGCCAGCCAGGGGCCGAGCUGGGGUUUGCAGCCAGAUAUGCCCAAUUUCAAAGUUGCUGCGAAACCCCCUGCCCUGCGAUACUGCUCCCCAGCAGCAGGUAAGACUCAACUGGGAGAGUCAGAACACCAGCGACUGGGUCCUAGUCCACCCCAGUGAAAACUGUGUGCGUGUGUCUGUGUGAACUGGUAUUUUUAAAAAGUCAAAAACCAACAAGACACCUCUCCAGGUGAUUCUAAAAUGCAGAGUUGACACAAGCGCCCAGGGACUCCACAUUCCUGGUGAGAGGGGGUGGUUUGCCAGGAGUCGGGGGGGGGGCUCCUUGGUGGCUUUCAGCACCCGGCACACCAUGUUUGCACCCCCAAGGUGCCCCCUGCACCCGGAUGUGGCCCAGCUGGAGGAGAGUCAGCUGCCCAGCUCCCUCUGCUCGCCUCUGAAACGUGGCGUGCUGCUUGGCCUCCAAGGCCUCGGUCACCAUGUACAGGCUCUCCUUCUCCUUCCAGCUCUGCAACUCCUGGAGGAACGAGGGUCUCAGAGUCUUGUUUCCUGCCAGGGGUGCCGGUGGGGGCAGGGGAAGAGACAGAACUUGGAGGCGCUCUCCAGGGCUCCCCCACCUUGGGGCCUUCUGCAGUGGGCAGCCUGGACUCUGUGCUGAUAUGGGCGGGGGGUGGGGGGUUAAGCGGGCGCCUGGCCUGUACUCAGGACUAGAAUUCAAGGUCAGUUGGGGGUGGUCGGAAAAGGGAGAAACAGAGGACUCAGACAUCUACAUCUGUCUUCUGCAGGACUUAAAUGACCAGCCCAGAGGCUACCACUGGGCUUCCUGCCUGCUGAAUCGAGCAAAAGGCAUAUGUUACUUA